CAGCAGCCGCGGGAAUACGUAGGGGGCGAGCGUUGUCCGAAGUUACUGGGCGUAAAGAGCGCGUAGGCUGGUCUUUAAGUGAGUGGUGAAAGGUUCGGGCUCAACCCGGACACUGCCUUUCAUACUGGGGACCUUGAGUGUGGGAGAGGCGAGUGGAAUGGUCGGUGUAGCGGUGAAAUGCGUAGAUAUCGAUCGGAACACCCAUGGCGAAGGCAGCUCGCUGGCCUAACACUGACGCUGAGGCGCGAAAGCGUGGGGAGCAAACAGGAUUAGAUACCCCCGUAGUCCCUGUCUCUUAUCC
rnacentral:rRNA from 1 species